AUCUGCUUAAAUAAAUUCUUGAUCACACAUUUUAUAUACAAAGAAGAGCAAAUUUCUUUUGAAAUGUUCACUUUGUGACACACAUGACUUUCUUUGCCCGUUAA